GUCAGCACUAGAUCAAACCAAGCUUCAGUGGCUCUAGAGGGAAAUCAUAUUGCAGCCAGCAUUUGUCAAAAUAAAACAGAAAAGAUACACGAGGAAGCUGCAGUAAAUGAAAGAGAGCAGAAAUGAAUAAGAUUAACAGAAGGGGAAUGGAUUUGCUUAUCACCUCUCUGCUUCUGCUGGGCAUUGCAAUUGGUGAAGAGUACCAAAUGAACCAGAUGUUUAGUAGAGGUCUUCGACUUAUUGUGGAAGUUCCACAUGAUAUUUUUGAUCAGCCGGUGACUCCAAAGGUGCACCUUCUUCUUCCUGUCAGAGUUCAGUGGAAGCACUCUGAGACAGUCACGCUUGCAUGUGUCAUUACUGGAUUACAGUCCAAAGCAGUGAGGAUCACAUGGAUGGUAAAUGGAACAACAGGCCCCAAAAAACACUGCAGUGCCCCACAAGUGCAAAGAGAGCCUGGAGGUACAUUUUCUGCUGUGGGACUGUACUCAGUUCUUGCUCAUAAAUGGAAACGUGAGAAUAUGUAUAGGUGUGAAGUAGAAUACAGAGGAGCCUUUCACUAUGGUAAGGUACAGUCUUCUCUCUGCAAUCCUCCUGAAGGAUUUUAAGUUUUAAUUUGUAUUUCCUGAGCUAGAGACUUUCUGUAUUGCCAUGAGAUCCUUGUACUGAGUGUUGAGCUGAAAACAGAGCAUCUGAAUAUGUGUUGACACAGAUCGACUUAUCUCUCAAAGAAAAACAACAACAACAAAAACAUGUACAGGUCUUGAAAAUAAUGUAAUCGAAGCAAAAAUGUAUUCUUUCUUCCAGGCCUGGCUCCAGCUCUAAGAAGUAAGGUGGGUCAUAGGGCUCGCCGGGUGGGCCGAACAGUUGGAGGGGUGGGUGUAGGUGUAGUUCUCAAGGUGGGCCAAGUUCAUGAUUGGGUUGGCCAGGCCCACCCAGGUCCCCCUGUGGAGCCAGGCCUGUAUUCUUUUGAUUUUGAGGUGAAAUGUCACUAGAUAUAUUCAUGACAGUGUUUGUAAGAUUUGAUUCGACCUGUUAUGUAUGCAACACCUCCCUGUCAGUAGAUGAAUCAUUGUGUUUUACAUCUAUGUUAAAUAGUGCUGUGCCAUCCUUUUUUUAAAGUAUGUUAUUUUUAUUUUUGGCUGCACCUUCUCUUUUAUUUGUUGACCUUCUGCUUUUAUAUGUAUGAUAAAAAUAGGAGAUGACUGCUUAUUAUCGAAUAA